UGGUUUGGGCCUAAUUGGAGGCUCUGCUGGGCUAUGACCCACAGUUUGGACUUGGAAUGUGCUUUGCCACCAUAAGCUGACAAGAUUUGGGCCCUUGGUUGAACCUGGCUGCUGAGUCCUGCUCUGCUCUGCUACUGUGGGACAGGCUCCGUGUUUCUCACUACUGUGGAGUGAUAAGGAGAAGGCUUUUCUUGUGGAUACUUUCCAUUUGACACUUGUAAAUAUCUGAGAUUUGAGGCAGGAAAGUAACUACCAUUGGUAAUUGAUUACCUCUGUUAAUCUGCAUAGUGCAUGGUGAUCAGGGUCCCUUUAUGCUGAGAUGUCUUUCCACCUCUCAAAGCACCAUGGGCCCUGAAAACACCAGCUUGCUGGCAGGGAGCUCUGCAAGGGAAGGACUUGGUCUGGAGAUCUGGGAUGCCAUGGGAGUCUUGCUACUGAUCUGGAUGUAGACCAAAGCUGGGAGAAGAAUAGAGUGUCAACAGAGAGACACGAAGCAGUGAAUCUUGUGAAGAUCAAGUGGCAAAAGCUCUCUUCUAGGAGCAGCUGGGAGCUUUGGGGCAGAAUAAGAGAAUGAGCCGAAGUGUCUCAGUGGGCCACAGCCGUGUGAUGGGAAGGAAAAAUACAGAAGCCAGAGCACAAGUGAAAUAAUGUCACCCCAAGCCCUCCUUGAAAGUGCAGUGGACUGUAAGGCUUAUCUCAGCUUUGUUGGCAGGGCACUAGCAUCUCGCUUUGAUGUGUCAACGAACUGGAGAGAAGAAAGGACUUUUUGGAAUUCAUUAAUUCAUUCUCCAGAGCACUUAACCAGAGUUUAACUUCUUUCAGAGCCGCUGCUUUGCUCAUAUCCUGCCUUGUCUGUACAGAGAUAGAUGAGGUUAUUGGCACAGAUGGACUUGGACUGCUAAGCUGCUUUUCUCUGGUGUCCUGCCAUGGCAUGGAUGCCUCUUGUAUCACAUAAUAAUUGAGUUUGGAAGAGAUAUCUGGAGGCAAUCUGGUCCAGCCUCACGCUCAGCCAGGGUCUCCUGGGUGGUUGCCCACAACCCAAUCAUAGCUGUCUGGAAAGUGCACAAUGAAUGGUUGGGCUCCGUGGGUAUCAAAUGCUGUGGCAGGAGCACCAGGCACCAAGUCAAAAGACAGAAUGUGGGAUAACUCCUGCCUUCCCUUUCCCAUGAAGAUGGAAAAGCUCCUCCAUGGUGGGAACUGGAGCGAUGGAUGAACAAGGAGGCCUUCCCUCCCCUUCAGAAUGUGGGUUGCCACCGGAGCUAUUUGGAGAUUGUCGCUGCUUGUUUUGGCCCCGACUUGAGUGCUUUGGCCACCACCUUGCUCAGGUGGCUAUUUUUGGUCUUGCCAGGAAUGGACUUCCUGAAGGGUGAAAUGAUGGAGGAGAGAAAAUAAACUUCAUGUUUUCUGAGCUGUAAAUAAAUAGGAGUUGUUCUUGGCCUUUCCCAAGGUCAGUGG
ensembl:lncRNA